rnacentral:rRNA from 1 species
GUCCUACGGGGCGCAGCAGUGGGGAAUAUUGCACAAUGGGGGAAACCCUGAUGCAGCAACGCCGCGUGAGUGAAGAAGUAUUCCGGUAUGUAAAGCUCUAUCAGCAGGGAAGAAAAUGACAGUACCUGACUAAGAAGCCCCGGCUAACUACGUGCCAGCAGCCGCGGUAAUACGUAGGGGGCAAGCGUUAUCCGGAUUCACUGGGUGUAAAGGGAGCGUAGACGGCCAUGCAAGCCAGAGGUGAAAGCCCGGGGCCCAACCCCGGGACUGCCCUUGGAACUGUGCGGCUAGAGUGCGGGAGGGGG